rnacentral:RNase_P_RNA from 1 species
CAGGGAAACCGGGUAAUCGCUCUUCAGUGUUGAAGGGAGGAAAGUCCGGACACCAACAAGUACCGCGCUCCCCGAUUCGGUUCAGCCGGCGAAGGGGAGGCUUGGUAGCAGGAAUGCUGCCAUGACAGACAGUGCAACAGAAAACAAACCGCUCUGGUGUUCAACACCGGAGUAAGGGUGAAAAGGUGAGGUAAGAGCUCACCGCCCCAAGGGCGACUGCGGGGGCACGGUAAACCUGGCGGGGUGCAAGUUCAUGCAGAUGGUAUACGCCGCUUGUCGUGACGCCAUCGGGUGGAACGCAACAGACAAAUGAUUACCCUCGACAAAAUCCGGCUUACAGGUUUCCCUGCCGA